rnacentral:rRNA from 1 species
CCUACGGGUGGCAGCAGUGGGGAAUCUUGGACAAUGGGGGCAACCCUGAUCCAGCGAUGCCGCGUGAGUGAAGAAGGCCUUCGGGUCGUAAAGCUCUUUAGGUUGGGACGCGGUACUGACAGAAUAAGCACCGGCAAACUCUGUGCCAGCAGCCGCGGUAAUACAGAGGGUGCAAGCGUUAAUCGGAGUUACUGGGCGUAAAGGGCGCGUAGGCGGUGAAUUGGGUGUGGUGUGAAAGCCCCGGGCUUAACCUGGGAAGUGCAUCGCAAACUAAUUGACUGGAGUAGAUGAGAGGGUGGCGGAAUUUCCGGUGUAGCGGUGAAAUGCGUAGAGAUCGGAAGGAACGUCAAUGGCGAAGGCAGCCACCUGGCACAACUGACGCUGAGGCGCGAGAGCGUGGGGAGCGAACAGGAUUAGAUACCCUUGUAGUC